GGUGGUGUAGCUCAGUGAUAAAGCAUAUGCUUAGCAUGCACAAGGCCCUGGAUUCCAUCCCCAACACUGCCA
rnacentral:tRNA from 1 species